CCAAGUGCGAGGGCAUAUUAACCCUCGCUUUUGUUGACUGUAAGGUGGUCGACGAAUAAGAGCUGGGCAGGACCGGUGCCGGCCGCCGCGGUAUUACGGGCGGCUCAAGUGAUGUCCCAUAUUAUUGGGCCUAAAGCGUCCGUAGCUGGCCGACCAAGUCUCCCGGGAAAUCCACCCGCCCAACGGGGGGGCGUCCGGGAAAAACUGGCCGGUUUGGAACCGGAAGGCUCAGAGAGUCCGUCCGGGGUAGGAGUGAAAUCCCGUAAUCCCGGACGGACUACCGAUGGGGAAAGCACUCUGAGAAGACGGCUUCAACAGUGAGGAACGAAAGCUCGGGUCUCAAACCGGAUUAAAUACCCGGGUAGUCCGAGCUGUAAACAAUGCUCGUUAGGUGUGGCACCCACUACGAGUGGGUGCUGCGCCGUAGGGAAGCCGCUAAACGAGCCGCCUGGGAAGUACGUCCGCAAGGAUGAAACUCAAAGGAAUUUGACGGAAA
rnacentral:rRNA from 1 species